AUGUAUCCAAUUGCUUGGGCCGUGGUUGAGAAAGAAAACAAUGAUUCUUGGGACUGGUUUUGCUCAUUACUCUUCAAAGAUGUCAAUGUAUAUGAUGGUGAAGGCUGGGUAAUAAUUUCAGACCAACAAAAAGUAAGUUAUAUGUUGUCUUUCAUUUACGCAGGAAUAUAUGAUGUAUGUGAUGCCAUGUCUAACACAAUUUGUGUAUAG
rnacentral:rRNA from 1 species